CCUACGGGAGGCAGCAGUGAGGAAUAUUGGUCAAUGGACGGAAGUCUGAACCAGCCAAGCCGCGUGAAGGAAGACGGCUCUAUGAGUUGUAAACUGCUUUUGUACAAGGGUAAACCUGAAUACGUGUAUUCAGCUGAAAGUACUUUACGAAUAAGGAUCGGCUAACUCCGUGCCAGCAGCCGCGGUAAUACGGAGGAUCCAAGCGUUAUCCGGAUUUAUUGGGUUUAAAGGGUGCGUAGGCGGAGUGUUAAGUUAGAGGUGAAAUGUCUGGGCUUAACUCGGGAAUUGCCUUUCAUACUGUUUAUCUAGAGAUUAGUUGCGGUAGGCGGAAUGUAUGGUGUAGCGAUGAAAUGCUUAGAUAUCAUACAGAACCCCGAUUGCGAAGGCAGCUUACCAAUCUAUAUCUGACGUUGAGGCACGAAAGCGUGGGGAGCAAACAGGAUUAGAUACCCGUGUAGUC
rnacentral:rRNA from 1 species